AUGCACGGCACGGCAUGGGCCUGCGCCGCAACGGACAAAGCCGAUGAGCUGUGGCCGCUCGCCCGCCACUCGGCGGCACCCAAACAAAACACCGGCCCGAGGAGGCGCCUACCAUUCGGCCCCGCGCGCAGUUUCCUCCACUUUUCCCACUGGCAGCAGCUCGCGAGUGCCGGCCGAUUGGUGCCUUCCUUCACACCUGCGAGUUCUCAACAGCCUUCUUUUCCAGAGAGUGUGCUGUGUACGUAG
rnacentral:rRNA from 1 species